CCCUGUUUUGUUUUUGCUGCUGGACGUACUACAGACGCAGCCCUGGCAGCAGCGCAGCCCAGAGCACAGUGGAGGCUUCCUCUUUCCCUCCUUUCCUGGCUGCUUCAGUAUGAACAGAAAAAGGUGGGCAGGGGCCAACUGGCAGAAGUCACAGAAAUAGCAGCGCAUGAUUCUCAGAGGAGCAGCCGAAAGGCCGGCAGGCAGGUCCAAGCCUCCUGCCCAGUUCUCAUUGACGAAGGUUGCUUUUGGCAAACAGUCACCAGCGGUUUCCAUGCUCGUUUCCCUCGGGACAGGGCAGACCACUCCGAUGAUAGACUACACCGAGGUAAUGCUCCGUGGUCCCAUGCCAGCAGCUGACCGCCCAGGGACAGGAGAUGGAGACGUUCAACUGCAAAUGCCACGUAGAACCUCCACGCCUUCUGCAGCACCGAACCUACUCGGGAGACCUACCAGGGACUCCUCAGACCACCUCUGAGCACGUGGGAACAGGGUGCAGUUCACGCAAGGGAAUGUGUCAGUCAUCGCCGCACAUGCGCAGAAGGCCGGCUCUGGGAUUAGUGGGCUUCCUUCAGCCGCGUGCUGCUGCUCAUUAGCAACCGCUGGGAGGGAAUCCGUGCGGGGCUGGUUUGCAGCGAGCAGCGGACAGCGCCGGUGACUCAAGCUCUCCUAGCGCGGUUUUCUCCGUUUCCUCCCCCUCGCCUUCCCUCUCUCCCUUGCCCGCCCUCUCUCCCUUGCCCGCCCUCUCUCCCUCUGGGUCUGGGGCAAUGCUCCGGCCAGGGCAGUUCGACUCAUAACUGGAUCUCGCCACUACUUAGUAGCACACGCAGCAAGCACGUGAUUCACCCCAGGAUGUCAUGGAGGGAUCUGAAAAAUAUAUCUGAUGCUGUUUCAUUCAGGAGACACAAGCAACUGGGCCAUCAAAGGACAACUGUCUCUUGGGCCAACAGGACACAGAACUCUCCCUCUGGAGACCCUCAGAGAUGAGGAAGAGGAGGAGGAGGAAGAAGAAGAGCUGCUGAGGCAUGGCCAUUGUCCUCUCUGGACCACCAAGAGUAAAUGGACUGAGAACCAUACAAGGAGAGAUGUAAGCUCAAUGUGUAAAGACCCUGUCACAGUGAGGAUGAGUAAGUUCACACACCACUAAGUGGUACUCAUGAAGUCUCCUUUCUAGGUGACUUUUUUUUUUUAUGCACAUAAGGAUAUUUUUCUCCCAAAGACAAUUUCAAGACUGCAAGGAAAUUAAUCUAAGCAUGUUCUCCGACUUAAAAGUCUCUGACUCAAAAAUAAUAAAAUCACAAAAUAACACACCUAGAAUUUCACACAAUUUGAAAAUCUUGGUGUUUGCCUCAUUAUACAAAUUCCUGGUGUCUCUAACAGGGGUCUAGGUCAUUUAUUGUAACACACUUAAAGACGAGCAAAUAGAAAUUCUGAAUCUAUACCACAAUAUAAUAGUGUCAGUCAGAAAAGUCCUUUCGUUUUUUU